CCUACGGGUGGCAGCAGUGAGGAAUAUUGGUCAAUGGGCGGGAGCCUGAACCAGCCAAGUCGCGUGCGGGAAGAAGGUACUGCGUAUUGUAAACCUCUUUUGCCAGGGGACAAAGGCGGCCACGGGUGGCCGUAAGAGGGUACCUGGUGAAAAAGCAUCGGCUAACUCCGUGCCAGCAGCCGCGGUAAUACGGAGGAUGCGAGCGUUGUCCGGAUUUAUUGGGUUUAAAGGGUGCGCGGGCGGCGUGUCAAGUCAGCGGUAAAAUGUCGGGUCUCAACCCAGGCCGGCCGUUGAAACUGGCGGGCUCGAGUGUGAGAGAAGUAUGCGGAAUUCGUGGUGUAGCGGUGAAAUGCUGAGAUAUCACGAAGAACCCCGAUUGCGAAGGCAGCAUACCGGCUCCACACUGACGCUGAGGCACGAAAGCGUGGGUAUCGAACAGGAUUAGAUACCCUAGUAGUC
rnacentral:rRNA from 1 species